rnacentral:misc_RNA from 1 species
AAAAUGCGAAAAGUAUUGUGACAUGCAAUCCUUGAGAAUCAACGAAUCUUUGAACGCACCUUGCACCGGGACGCGCGAGCGGGCCGGUAUACUUGUUUGAGCAUCGCGACAGCGUGGGCCGCACUGCCUCUGGGCGUGUGGGCCGAGUGAGCCGACGGGGUGAGAGCGCCGUGGCUUGAAAGCGAGACAGCAGCGAGCGACGCGGCAUGGGAUAGCAUCUUGCAUGCGGCGGCGCCAGCAGCGGACCUAGACUAGUGGGUGAGUGAUUAGUGAGUGAGCAUAUGUAUAUCAUGUGUUCACACACUCGACACUGACCCACUAGCGUGAUACAUGACAGGGAUCUCAAAUCAAGUAGGAAGACCCGCCGAACUUAA